rnacentral:rRNA from 1 species
GAUGAACGCUGGCGGCGUGCCUAAUACAUGCAAGUCGAGCGAACGGACGAGAAGCUUGCUUCUCUGAUGUUAGCGGCGGACGGGUGAGUAACACGUGGAUAACCUACCUAUAAGACUGGGAUAACUUCGGGAAACCGGAGCUAAUACCGGAUGAUAUUUUGAACCGCAUGGUUCAAAAGUGAAAGACGGUCUUGCUGUCACUUAUAGAUGGAUCCGCGCUGCAUUAGCUAGUUGGUAAGGUAACGGCUUACCAAGGCAACGAUGCAUAGCCGACCUGAGAGGGUGAUCGGCCACACUGGAGCUGAGACACGGUCCAGACUCCUACGGGAGGCAGCAGUAGGGAAUCUUCCGCAAUGGGCGGAAGCCUGACGGAGCAACGCCGCGUGAGUGAUGAAGGUCUUCGGAUCGUAAAACUCUGUUAUUAGGGAAGAACAUAUGUGUAAGUAACUGUGCACAUCUUGACGGUACCUAAUCAGAAAGCCACGGCUAACUACGUG